rnacentral:rRNA from 1 species
GACGAACACUGGCGGCGUGCUUAACACAUGCAAGUCGAACGGAAAGACCCUGCUUUUGUGGGGUGCUCGAGUGGCGAACGGGUGAGUAACACGUGAGUAACCUGCCCUUGACUUUGGGAUAACUUCAGGAAACUGGGGCUAAUACCGGAUAGGAGCUCCUGCUGCAUGGUGGGGGUUGGAAAGUUUCGGCGGUUGGGGAUGGACUCGCGGCUUAUCAGCUUGUUGGUGGGGUAGUGGCUUACCAAGGCUUUGACGGGUAGCCGGCCUGAGAGGGUGACCGGCCACAUUGGGACUGAGAUACGGCCCAGACUCCUACGGGAGGCAGCAGUGGGGAAUAUUGCACAAUGGGCGGAAGCCUGAUGCAGCAACGCCGCGUGCGGGAUGGCGGCCUUCGGGUUGUAAACCGCUUUCGCCUGUGACGAAGCGUGAGUGACGGUAAUGGGUAAAGAAGCACCGGCUAACUACGUG